GUUCACCGCGAUAUUCAAGGACCUGCAACAACACAUACUUGUUAAUAUCACACACUCAGACAUGGACACACCAUCACGGACAGGUUAUUUCAUGAAGCAAAAUAUUGCUUUCAAAUAGGUCAGGCUCUCAAAAUAAGUUACAGCAUGAGUGUAAAAGUGCUGCUAGACACCAUUUCAUAUUUGAGAAGCACAUCUCGCAUUUAUUUUGCAUAUGUAUCAACAUUUCAAAGAUGUCUUGCUGGAAAGAAUGACGG
rnacentral:misc_RNA from 1 species